CUAUCUAUCUAUCUAUCUAUCUAUCUAUCUAUCAUCUAUCUAUCUAUCUUAUCUAUAUCUAUCAUCUAUCUACCUACCUACCUACCAUUUAUCUACCCCUAUCUAAACAUCUGUCUGUUUGUAGUUUAGUAUUAAUGGAGUUCAAAUCAUUUUGGCAUGUUAAGAAAGCACUCUGCUGUGAAGCCAUAUUACAACUCAAGCUUGUGAUGUGGGGACAGGCCAGAAACCGAAUUUAUCCAUCACCUUUGUACCAGAAUCAGGGGCCCUACACAGCCCGUGCAGGCUUAACAAUGAGGUAACUAUGCUAGGAAACUGAGCAGCUAAAAUGACAGUUGCAGUGUUUGAGUCUUGGAGAGCUGAGGAAGCAGCAUUGCUACCUGCCCUCCUCCUUCCAGGGAUGAAGGAGCCUACCAGGAGAAGGAGGUCUGUAUGUUAGGUGCCUUCCGGGGAUAUGCCUCUGAGAAAAGCCAACAGCUACCCAAAAGUGCCUCUGAGGAUGCAUGUACAUGGCUUGGCUGUACACAGCUACCUGAAGACCUGGAUACUCUUUGAUGUGCCCAUAAUGGUGAGGUCAUACAUGUGUGACCUCACAGAGGGGUUGCUGGCAUGGUCACUGGUGUUGCCUAGGCACAGAAGGCAGCAGAUAUUUUAGAGGGAUGGGAUUCAGAAGCAGAAGUGAGUGCAUAGAGCUGUGUUGUUGGUGGGACUGUUCCCCAGAUUAUUGGGCUCAAGGCCAUAUAGACCCUUCAGGACGGGAAGAUCCAUAAGAGCGAGAUGUGAGGUAGUUCCCAGGGAUUCAACAGCAGGCAAACCUCUGGCUGCUCUCCUAAAGCACCUCUGAGGACAGAUGUGCAUGGGUUGCAAGAACGCACCAGCCCGGGAGGACUUGUGUGCCUGCACAAAUGUCGUUGAGUCCAGACCAACUUGAGGUCAUGGAUAGGGAUCACAUCCAUGGAAACAGAGGAUCUGAAACCCUCGGCUUUGACAUAUUGCAGAAAGGCUCGUUUAUAAUGGUUACGUGGUACCUGUGAGAGGUGCAGAAACCUGCUAGAUCAUAUUCACUGCUCAACCUAGAAACGUGCUGGGAGCUGUAUCAUGGGCAGUGUCUCAUAGCACAGCAGGCAUCGGGAAGGAGAUGUCUGCCAUCCUGAGCCACAGAAGUUAUCGGUGAAAAGAUGCCCAGUGAGUGAGGGGAGGAAGGAAAGAGAGGUAGAGGACGGUCAAUCUGCAAUGCACCAUGGCCUUGGCCUUCACCACCAGGCUGCGAGGGAAUCCAGGGGCUUAUGGUUUGACAUUCCAGUUUGUACAUUCCAUAACAGCCCAGAAAGACUAUUAGAGCUGUAACACUGGUUCCAAUAAAAUCAAGUGGAUGUUAAUGGGCCAGAAUCCACCAACCUCA